AAACUGAUCUCCCCGUGAAGAAGCGGGGAUACAAAUAUAAGACGAGAAGACCCCAUGGAGCUUUAAACCCAACAGCACCCGUUUAUUUUCAUCCUCACAUAAGUUAGGUUAUGCCUGUUUGGUUUUAGGUUGGGGUGACCACGGAGUAUAAAACAACCUCCAUGAAAAAAGGACCAAAAAUCCUUAUUAGAGAAAGACAUUUCUAAAAUUAAUAAAUUAAUUUUUAAUGAUCCGAUAUUCGAUCAACGAACCAAGUUACCCUGGGGAUAACAGCGCAAUCCACUUCAAGAGCUCCUAUCGACAAGUGGGUUUACGACCUCGAUGUUGGAUCAGGGUAUCCUAGUGGUGCAGCAGCUACUAACGGUUCGUUUGUUCAACGAUUAAAACCCU
rnacentral:rRNA from 1 species